rnacentral:rRNA from 1 species
CCCUUAGAUGCUCUGGGCCGCACGCGCGCUACACUGGUCGAUGCAACGAGUUUCUUUCCUUGGCCGACAGGCCUGGGUAAUCUUUGAACAUCGAUCGUGAUCGGGAUAGAUUCUUGUAAUUUUUGAUCUUAAACGAGGAAUUCCUAGUAAACGCAAGUCAUCAGCUUGCAUUGAUUACGUCCCUGCCCUUUGUACACACCGCCCGUCGCACCUACCGAUUGAAUGGUCCGGUGAAAUCUCCGGACUGGCGUGAGUCGGAGCAAUCUGACAAACACCGGAAAGUUGAUUAAACCUUACCAUUUAGAGGAAGGUGAAGUCGUAACA